rnacentral:snRNA from 1 species
GGUGAUUGCUUUGGCGACACCAUAUACUAAAAUUGGAAUGACGCCGAGAAGAUUGGCAUGGGCCCUGUGCAAGGAUGAUAUGCAAAUUUGUGAAGUGUUCCGUAUUUUU